rnacentral:lncRNA from 1 species
UGCGCGCGCGCAAUCGCUCGGGAAUGGCGCGGUUAAUACGGUCCACACCGAGGCUGUCCUCGGCGCCCGACCGCGACGGCGCGACCGUGUUCUACUCAACGUAUGGCGGUAGAGCUUGAACAAACCACUUGAUCAGCUUCACUGACCAAUACAGAUCAUGGAACACAAGCCACACGGGUGAGAAACUUUCUGAGCAUACCUGGCCACGGUAAAGUGGAAGAUCUGCAGGUGUGGUCACCAGACACAUUCAGUGCCUUGAUCGAUGGAAUUGGGCGCGUCCAGGGUAUGAUUUGGGGAAGGAAGAGCAAUACUGCUGACUGAAGCUACUCACUAUGGUUGAUGAUCGAGGCACGGAUCACUGCACUGGCUUCUGCUUUCUUUCCCUCACCCUGUUGCUCUUUAUAUAGGCAGGGAAAAGAUCAAGGGACUGGAUUCUUGAGUUUACAGGGGGGAUAACUAUGUGCAUGGGGUGCAGUCGUGGCUUACUCAAGGAAGCCCACGCCGGUGCUGCAGGGUGAAGAUUAUCCAGGGCAAGGGAGGGAGGUGAAGAUAGGAUGGCACUGUUCUGGAUAUUUGCACAGGUGAUAUUUCAGUGAUGAACAAAUCUGAAUACCCCUGCCAACACUCCAUCCCAAUCUUCAUCCUAUUCCAAAGUUGGUCACGGCAAGAAAAACUGAAC